rnacentral:lncRNA from 1 species
AAAAACAUUCCAUUAUCAAUGUGUUUUGUAUUUUUCUAAAAAAAGAAGACAAAAGAGUUUCAAUCGCAUGACAAUAUUGACUCAACAUCAUCAGUAAAGUCAAUUCAUUUCUAUCUAUUUAUACAUCCUCCUUUAAUCAAAGAUCAAAAGAUAAGAGAGAAUUGAAAGAAAGCUCGAUUUCUCGAUGGGUUUGGUUGUAAAGUUCGAUUUCUCGAUGGAAGCAGUUAUCGUCGGUAUAACGAUCUCGUGGUUUCUCAUCACUGGUCUAUAUAUGUAUUGCUUCCCUUCUCGAGAAGGCUGCGGAAAAUAUCAAAGACGCUGUGAUUUUUAUUGUUCUUGAUCUAAUAUGGCGAUUAAUUUAGCUUUUUUAGCUUUUAGGGUUUUUUCUCUAUCCGUUUGAUCUUCCAUUAUUCUCCUAUGUUUUUUUUCGUCAUGUUUGUGUGAUUUGGUGUAUGCUUUAUGACAUUUUUUUUUAAUGUAAUCAUAAAUUCUAUUCAAAAAAAUAUAUGGUCCAGAUGUAUUUGGCAAAUUUUAGAGAUUGAUCCGUCCUGUUUAUUACCAAUUCAAUUUAAGAGCAACGAUUAACGAAAGUAUGGGUUAGAAGCUCCCAACCGACACCAAACUAAUUUUAAUUUUUAUUAUUAGUAUGGUUAUGUUGUAAUUUAUAUUCGAUAUGAAUUUGUAUUAAAGAACUGUAAUAUCU